rnacentral:rRNA from 1 species
CUACGGGAGGCACCAGUGAGGAAUAUUGCACAAUAGAGGAAACUCUGAUGCAGCAACGCCGCGUGGAGGAUGACGCAUUUCGGUGUGUAAACUCCUUUUAUAUGUCAAGAAAAUGACGGUAGCAUAUGAAUAAGCACCGGCUAACUCCGUGCCAGCAGCCGCGGUAAUACGGAGGGUGCAAGCGUUACUCGGAAUCACUGGGCGUAAAGGACGCGUAGGCGGGAUAUCAAGUCAGGUGUGAAAUCCUACAGCUUAACUGUAGAACUGCACUUGAAACUUCUAAUCUAGAGUAUGGGAGGGGGAGAUGGAAUUAGUGGUGUAGGGGUAAAAUCCGUAGAUAUCACUAGGAAUACCUAAAGCGAAGGCGAUCUCCUGGAACAUUACUGACGCUAAGGCGUGAAAGCGUGGGGAGCAAACAGGAUUAGAUACCCCAGUAGUC